AAAGCUCUGUUUCCCACUCAACGCACGAACGAAGAAGGCAACACAAAGCAAUCCAGCCCCUUUCGUCUCCACAAUUGACACGGCUUUGCACCGGCACGUCUCUGCCAUUGGCAUGUCUAGGCACGACUCUCUCACAACCGAGACAUCUGGGCAAGGCUCUGUCACCACCGGCACAUCUGGACACCGGAUUUGGGUUUUGCAGUCAACAAAACAAGGCCUUUGACAAUCUCUUGUGCCGUUCCUCGACAUCUUCAGCAAGCCACCUGUUGUCCUCUGCCAUGCACUUCUCUCUCGAAUCUGUAGUCGCCUGCUUUCCUCCGGCAUCAAUGUGAACAUUGGGUUGUCAUCGUGGGACGGCAGCUCCUCCCCACUCCUCGGCAUCCUCAGCAAGCCACCGUAUCUAGUUUUAACAGUCUCGUCUUUUCUUCAAUCGGUCAACCCUAGCCCCAAAUCAUGAUGCAUUCUCCAUUCCCCCGUAGCCAAAGCCCCAAAUCAUUCUCAGCAAGCCAUCUCUCUGUAUAUAUAUAUAUAUAUAUCUUUGUGAUUUUGGAUUACUUUGUAUAUUUACUUUGUGAUUUUAAGUUCAUAACAGAGGCCUAAGCUAACAUUAUGUGCUUGUUGAUAUCUAAACUGUAAAUUUAUGUUGUUUGUUUCUGGGAUUAAGUUUCGUCUUGAGUUGGUGUUGAGCCGUGAGCUGCUUGUUUCUUCAUCUAGCGAGGGAAUUAAAUUUUGGGAAUAUGGUGGAUGCAGCUAGCUAGGGGUUGAAAACUUGCAAAAUUUUAGUCGCCAAAGAAGUUGAUCGUUGUACCCCAUGGGGUUUUCUUUCUCUUUACCCUUUCAAUAUUUAACACUUUUCAAGGAAUUUGAGAAGGCCUAGGAAUUGAAUUUGUAGAAGUAGCAAUUAAUAUAAUGCAAAUUCAUUGAAUUUUACUC